rnacentral:rRNA from 1 species
UUAGUCAAUGGCCUAACGGCUGAACUGGCAACUUGGAGAAGUGGCAAGUCUUCCAGUAUGGGGAGCAAAACAGCUAUGGGUCAAGUCCGAUAUCUUUAGGAGGCGCGAAGCUCCUCUUAUUGUGAGGGCGAGUUUUAUAACACCAUAGGACUGGCCGUCCCAUAUGAAAAGAUUAUAUUAGAAUUGAAUGAAGCUUUGUUUAUAUAUUGAUAAUGACAGUAUAUAUAUCGUGUCUUGACUAAUUGCGUGCCAGCAGUCGCGGUAAUACGUAAGAGACUAGUGUUAUUCAUCUUAAUUAGGUUUAAAGGGUACCCAGACGGUCAAUAUAGCUUAUAAAAUGUUAGUACUUGACUAGAGUUUUAUGUAAGAGGGCAGUACUUGAGGAGGAGAGAUGAAAUUUCGUGAUACCAAAGGGACUCGGUAAAGGCGAAGGCAGCCCUCUAGGUAAAAACUGACGUUGAAGGACGAAGGCACAGAGAACAAACAGGAUUAGAUACCCAAGUAGUCUUUGCAGUAAAUGAUGAAUGCCAUAGGUUAGAUCUGAGUUGGUAGUCUAGUUGAGUUAGUUUACUAAACUAAUGAUCUAUACAAGCCAGCCUUAGAUUUGGUCUAUAAAUGAAAGUGUAAGCAUUUCACCUCAAGAGUAAUGUGGCAACGCAGGAACUGAAAUCACUAGACCGUUUCUGACACCAGUAGUGAAGUAUGUUAUUU